rnacentral:rRNA from 1 species
GGUGAACGUUGGCGGCGCGUCUAAUACAUGCAAGUCGAGCGAGGCUUCGAGCCGAGCGGCGGACGGCUGAGUAACACGUUGGUAGCUACCCCGUACUCUAGGGAUAACACUGAGAAAUCAGUGCUAAUACCGGAUGGUCCCGAAAGGGUAAAGAUUUAUCGGUACGGGAGGUGCCUGCGGCCUAUCAGCUAGUUGGUGAGGUAAUGGCUCACCAAGGCUAUGACGGGUAACUGGUCUGGGAGGACGACCAGUCAGAGGGAAACUGAGACACGGUUCCCACUCCUACGGGAGGCAGCAGUAAAGAAUCUUCCGCAAUGGACGCAAGUCUGACGGAGCGACGCCGCGUGCAGGAUGAAGGCCUUCGGGUCGUAAACUGCUUUUCUGAGGGAAUAAUUCUGAAUGUACCUCAGGAAUAAGCACCGGCAAAUCACGUGCCAGCAGCCGCGG